GACGAACGCUGGCGGCGUGCUUAACACAUGCAAGUCGAGCGGUAAGGCCCUUUCGGGGGUACACGAGCGGCGAACGGGUGAGUAACACGUGGGUGACCUGCCCUCAGCUCUGGGAUAAGCCUGGGAAACCGGGUCUAAUACUGGAUAUGACUCCAUGACGCAUGUUGUGGGGUGGAAAGCCUUGUGCGGCUGAGGAUGGGCCCGCGGCCUAUCAGCUUGUUGGUGGGGUGANGGCCUACCAAGGCGACGACGGGUAGCCGGCCUGAGAGGGCGACCGGCCACACUGGGACUGAGACACGGCCCAGACUCCUACGGGAGGCGGCAGUGGGGAAUCUUGCGCAAUGGGCGAAAGCCUGACGCAGCGACGCCGCGUGAGGGAUGACGGCCU
rnacentral:rRNA from 1 species